ACUCACUGUUGUCUUCAUGCCUGUGAGAUGGAGGGACUCAUAGGAAUUGAGAAUGACCAUAACUCCCAAGACAACAAAGAUAAAGAGGCCAGGGUUCCUCAGGCACCAGCAUGUGAGAUGACUCCAGGCCUCCUCUAUUUAAGGAGGGAAGACAGACCAGAGCCCAAACAGAGGGGCCUUAAGAAGCCAGAGAGGCUGCACUUCUUUGGGGCACCAGAACCCUGACUUCCCACAAUGGAAGCCCUGGGGCAGAGGGAGAGCAAGCAGGCUCUCCCACGGAACUGGAAUCACCUGGAGGCGGGUGGAGUUACCACUGCAAAUUUUCCCAUCAUUUCAAUCAAACAGCAGUGGAAUACAACAGACUGCAUAUCUCACCAAAUUGUUAGUCAGAUUAGAAAUAAGAUCAGAAAUCAUGGAGCUGAAAGGAACUUUUU